rnacentral:misc_RNA from 1 species
GGCUUCAUUGAUAAGUGGUUUUACAUGAGCAUUGGGGUGGGAUUCGCAGCAGAUUUAUUGCUUCCUUAUUUAGUUUUUGCAAUGAAAAGGUCUUGGGGUGGAACUGCUUAUAGAUUGUCAAGUGAGAAAAUGAAAGCAGCUGCAAGAAGAAGAAAUCGGGGCGCUCGUUGACGUUUUUCAUUUUUCUUUUGCAAGUCUUAAAUUUCUUGUACAAUCUAGUGAAGUAUUUCAGCAAGUCUCGGAUUGUUUGAAUUUGGAGAAA